rnacentral:misc_RNA from 1 species
UUAAGUUCAGCGGGUAUCCCUACCUGAUCCGAGGUCAACCUUAUAAAAUUGUGCCCUAGGGCUACGUUUUGACGGCGUGGCCGCGCCGCGCUCCAGUGCGAGGUGUGCUACUACGCAAGGGAGGCUGCAGCGAGACCGCCACUGAUUUUCAGGGCCGGCCGCGCCCUAAGGACGGGAGGCCGCACCCCAACACCAAGCCC